UCCACACUGGGACUGAGACACGGCCCAGACUCCUACGGGAGGCAGCAGUAGGGAAUCUUCCGCAAUGGACGAAAGUCUGACGGAGCAACGCCGCGUGAGUGAUGAAGGCUUUCGGGUCGUAAAACUCUGUUGUUAGGGAAGAACAAGUACGAGAGUAACUGCUCGUACCUUGACGGUACCUAACCAGAAAGCCACGGCUAACUACGUGCCAGCAGCCGCGGUAAUACAAA
rnacentral:rRNA from 1 species